AAAACAGAAGAAAGCAAAGAGCCAGAGGGGAGCCAGAGGAUGGAAUGAUGUGGCCACAGGCCAAGGGAUGCCCCGGGGCCACAGGAUCUGAAAGAAGCGGGGAAGGAUCCUCUCCUAGAGCUUUCCGAGGGAGCCAGGCCCUGAUGUCACCUUGAUCUCAGACUUCCGGCCUCCAGAAAGGUCACCCACUGAAAACUUAAGGAAUGAAGAGAAACUUUGUUUUGUUCCAUCAGAAAUCUAGGCGAGAAUAAUUUCAAACCAUGCUGACAAUGGAGUCAUCAAAUUGCUGUUAAGAUUUCCUUUUCUGCAUAAAUCUACCAGAAUCAGUUUCCAGUGCUUGCAUUUGUAAAUCCCAACUGGUGGAGGUUUCCUUGGAACCCAAGUGUGGAGCACAUCCAGGCCUCACCAGGAACCAGAAAAACAGCCCUCGCCAUGCUACUUGGCUCAGAGUGACCAUCGAUAAUUGUUGCUAUUGGGGCACGUGGGUGGCUCAGUCGGUUAAGUGUCCUACUUCGACUCAGAUCGUGAUCCCGUGGUCUGUGAGUUCGAGCCCGGCAUCAGGCUCUGUGCUGACAGCUCAGAGCCUGGAGCCUGCUUCGGAUUCUGGAUCUCCUUCUCUCUCUGCCCCUCCCCCACUCAUGCUCUGUCUCUCUCUAUCAAAAAUAAAUAAACAUUACAAAUUAAAAAAAAUAAUUGUUGCUAUUGUUAUCUUCAGCAGCAGCAUUUUAUCACCAUGAUGA